CAGCCGCCGCGGUAAUACCGGCGGCCCGAGUGGCGGUCACUAUUAUUGGGCUUAAAGCGUCCGUAGCCGGGUUGGGAAGUCCUCCGGGAAAUCUGGCCGCUUAACGGUCAGAAUGCCGGAGGAUACUCCCAGCCUAGGGAGCGGGGGAGGCCGAGGGGAUUCCCGGAGUAGGGGUGAAAUCCUAUAAUCCCGGGAGGACCACCUGUGGCGAAGGCGCUCGGCUGGAACGCGUCCGACGGGGAGGGACGAAGGCCAGGGGAGCAAACCGGAUUAGAUACCCGGGUAGUCCUGGCUGUAAACGAUGCGGACUUUGUGUCGGACAAGCUAUGAGCUUGUCCGGUGCCGGAGGGAAACCGUUAAGUCCGCCGCCUGGGGAGUACGGCCGCAAGGCUGAAACUUAAAGGAAUUGGCGGG
rnacentral:rRNA from 1 species